rnacentral:rRNA from 1 species
UAAAAACCCCGACUUCGGAAGGGGUGUAUUUAUUAGAUACAAAACCAAUGCCCUUCGGGGCUCUUUGAUGAUUCAUGAUAACUAUACGAAUCGCACGGCCUUGCGCCGGCGAUGGUUCAUUCAAAUUUCUUCCCUAUCAACUUUCGAUGUUUGGGUAUUGGCCAAACAUGGUUGCAACGGGUAACGGAGGGUUAGGGCUCGACCCCGGAGAAGGAGCCUGAGAAACGGCUACUACAUCCAAGGAAGGCAGCAGGCGCGCAAAUUACCCAAUCCCGACUCGGGGAGGUAGUGACAAUAAAUACUGAUACAGGGCCCUUUCAGGCCUUGUAAUUGGAAUGAGUACAAUUUAAAUCCCUUAACGAGGAACAAUUGGAGGGCAAGUCUGGUGCCAGCAGCCGCGGUAAUUCCAGCUCCAAUAGCGUAUAUUAAAGUUGUUGUGGUUAAAAAGCUCGUAGUUGAACCUUGGGCCUGGCUGGCCGGUCCGCCUCACCGCGUGCACUGGUCCGGCCGGGCCUUUCCCUCUGUGGAACCCCAUACCCUUCACUGGGCGUGGCGGGGAAACAGGACAUUUACUUU